rnacentral:rRNA from 1 species
AACGAACGCUGGCGGCAUGCCUAACACAUGCAAGUCGAACGAAGGCUUCGGCCUUAGUGGCGCACGGGUGCGUAACGCGUGGGAAUCUGCCCCUUGGUUCGGAAUAACAGUGAGAAAUUACUGCUAAUACCGGAUGACGACGAAAGUCCAAAGACUUAUCGCCGAGGGAUGAGCCCGCGUAGGAUUAGCUAGUUGGUGGGGUAAAGGCCUACCAAGGCGACGAUCCUUAGCUGGUCUGAGAGGAUGAUCAGCCACACUGGGACUGAGACACGGCCCAGACUCCUACGGGAGGCAGCAGUGGGGAAUAUUGGACGAUGGGCGAAAGCCUGAUCCAGCAAUGCCGCGUGAGUGAUGAAGGCCUUAGGGUUGUAAAGCUCUUUUACCCGGGAUGAUAAUGACAGUACCGGGAGAAUAAGCUCCGGCUAACUCCGUGCCAGCAGCCGCGGUAA